rnacentral:rRNA from 1 species
GUGGGGAAUCUUGCGCAAUGGGCGAAAGCCUGACGCAGCCAUGCCGCGUGAAUGAUGAAGGUCUUAGGAUUGUAAAAUUCUUUCACCGGGGACGAUAAUGACGGUACCCGGAGAAGAAGCUCCGGCUAACUUCGUGCCAGCAGCCGCGGUAAUACGAAGGGGGCUAGCGUUGCUCGGAAUUACUGGGCGUAAAGGGCGCGUAGGCGGACAGUUUAGUCAGAGGUGAAAGCCCAGGGCUCAACCUUGUAAUUGCCUUUGAUACUGGCUGUCUUGAGUACGGGAGAGGUGAGUGGAACUCCGAGUGUAGAGGUGAAAUUCGUAGAUAUUCGGAAGAACACCAGUGGCGAAGGCGACUCACUGGCCCGUUACUGACGCUGAGGCGCGAAAGCGUGGGGAGCAAACAGGAUUAGAUACCCGGGUAGUCC